rnacentral:tRNA from 1 species
GCCGUGAGAGGCACAGUAUCGCAUGCGCCGGACUCAAAAUCCGGUCGGGGUCACCCCCGGUGUGGGUUCGAUUCCCACCUUCGGCACCA